UGGUAGAACUCUUGCCUAGCAUGUGGGUGGCCCUGGGUUAAUCCCCAGUACUGCCAAAACAAACAAAGAAUCAAACAAAUAAACACCCUUUCCUUGCUCAUGGCUAAACAAAACCAGGUGGAGAGCUGAAUGUGGCUUGCAGGCCAUAUUUUACCAAUUUCUGACCUCUGCUAUUGAGAAGAGAACACUGGGCUGCCAGGUUUCCGAUUUUGUAUUUAAGUAGCAAAUAGUACCUGAACAAAUGCCUGAGAAUAGUUGGUUUGACUGGGCCUUACUCAGCACAUCAUUUAACCUUCCUAAAUGGACAUAGUCACUCUCUUGUUUCCUUACAGCUGAGAAGCAGCCGGAAGCUAUGUAAGUGUAAGAGCCUCUUUGUCUUUAUGUAUAAUGGGUAAGUAAGUCAUCUCUCAUGGCAACCAAGAAUACAAGAUACAGGAUUCACCAUUAUGAAAUAAUAUUAGUCUCUGGCUGCUGUGACCAUUUUGUAUGGGGUUCUCUUGGGAGUUAGAACAAGGCUUUUAAAACAAAUAGACAAGGAAUAAAUGGUAUUAAAAUAAUCAAGGGAAAGUAAUCAAUCUGCCUAGAAUCUAGCAGCCAAGAGUAUCACAGAAGAUCUCUAUCCUGGGGGACUUAGGACUCCUCAAAGAAGCACCCGCCUCAUGUAGCUCCAAAGGAGAUUGGACUGGAGAGAGGUUUGUUCAUUCUAGCUGCUGAAAUCUCAUCUAACACCCCCAUUCUUUUUUUUUUUUUGAUAUUUAUUUAUUUAUUGGCGGACACAACAUCUUUGUUUGUAUGUGGUGCUGAGGAUCGAACCUGGGCCGCACGCAUGACAGGCGAGCGUGCUACCACUUGAGCCACAUCCUCAGCCCAUAACACCCCCAUUCUUUGGGGUACCUUUUAGCACAUCAGAAUCCUCCUAAUCUAGACUGCAUUUGUGAGAAGGUGAUACUUUAUAACCACUGUCCCAAUCUGCGUCCAUGAAGGAAUUUUGGCAGAGUGUUACUUUAUUUAUUCAGUCAGUCAGUCAGUUCAUACUUGUUAAGCUCUUCUUAUGAAGAAGACAUACCUAGACUUUGGGGAAAUGACUAGAGGUCCAGGGCUUGGGACAUCCUGAUUUUUGUGAUAGCUUCUACUUCAAUCAUGAGGGGAAGUAUGAUGAUGAUGGUGAUAGUAAUGAUAAUGAAGAUGGUGCUAGUGUUGGCCCUGGAGCUAGGGAGAGGGGAGAGGACAAAUCAGCAGAUGCAUGAAUGUCUUUAGGAAUGGGGUUGGUGAUGGAAGAGGGAAAAGUUCUGUAGAAAAAGUGAGCAAUCAAGGGAAAUUAGUGUAGAGUCCCCCCCCCCCAUCCAUGGUUUCGCUUGCCAUGGUUUCAGUUACCUGCAGUUAACCUUGGUCUAAAAAUAUUAAGUGGAAAAUUCCGGAAAUAAAUAAUUCAUAAGCUUUAAAUCACAUGCUUUUCUGAGUAGCUUGAUGACCUUUACGCUAUCCCCCUCCAUCUUGCUCAGGAUGUAAACAAUCCCUUUGCCCAGGGUCCAGCAUGUUCCAACUGUACACCACCUUACCUAUUAGUUACUUUUAGGUGUCUCAGUUAUCAGAUUGACUGUGGGGAGUGUCACAAGUAACCCUUAUUUUACUCAUUAAUGACCCCAAAGAACAAGGAUAGUGAUGCUACCAAUUUUAUUAUGGUAUAUUAUCAUUGCUGUGCUUAUUAGGUAUUGUUAUUAUUCCCUUACUUUUUAAAUUAAACUUUAACAUAGGUGUGUAUACCUAAAAAUAAACAUAGUAUAUGUGGGGCCCCACUCAGUCUGCAGUUUCAGCCAUCUUCUGGGGUCUGGGAACAUGUCCUCAGUGAAUAGUGGGGACUGCUGUAGCCAUGGCUACUGAUUGUUAACCACAGUGCAGUGGAUCAGCCAAAUGUCUUGGGAUCAGAAGACGUCAGCUCAAAUCCCAGCCUCAGAAAUUUACUAUUUGUGUCACCUUGGUGAAGUUAUUUCAAGUCUCUGAGCUUCAAUUUCUUUUUCCAGGAACCUGAAAUUUAAAUAUUCUUCUAAAAUUGUUUUUGCACAUCAAUAGUUCACACUAAUUCAAAAAAGAAUUGGCCCCACUGAAUGGGGUCAGAAACACUGAACUCCUUCAACUAUCCUGGUAGAUUAUUUUCUUCCCUUGUAUGCAAGGUAUGUGGUUCAGAGUAGAUGCUCCACAAAUGUUAGCAAUUGUCAUACAUAGUAUUUGUGAUAUUUGAAAUGUGAUGAGUUCCUUGUCAAGGCCAGAACUAAACAUGACUAUGGUGUGUUUGUGCUUGUGUGUGUGUGUGUGUGUGUGUGUGUGUGUGUGUGUGGUGUAUUAGGGACAGGGACAAACAGAGGAUUCAGAGUGCCCGAGAUUCAGAUGCCCUUUCAGCCUGUUCCCCACCCAAUGCCAACGGCCAUCUGCUCUGUGCAGCCGCCUGUCUGAGAGUGGAGGGUAUCCAUGGAAACCAGUAUGAAGGUUGCCAAGAGGAUUCUGUGGCAGCCUGCUAGAAGGCUGUCAGCAAGGCUUGUGGAGGUAGAGGACUGCAGCCAUGCCUGGAACACAGAGGAUCGGCAAUAAUUUUUCUUGAAUAAACAACUCUGUAAUGAAAAUCAAAUGCAUUUAUUAAACAGUUAUUCACCCCAAA